GGGAUUGCCUCAGUAACGGCGAGUGAAGCGGCAACAGCCCAGAUUUGAAAUCCGGCUUUCGGGCCCGAAUUGUAAUCUGCAGAUGAGGCUUUGGGUUACGCGCCGUCCAAGUUCCCUGGAAUGGGACGCCACAGAGGGUGAGAGCCCCGUACCGACGUGCGCCGCGCCUAUUUAUGGCCCAUUCGAAGAGUCGAGUAGUUUGGAAAUGCUGCUCUAAUCGUGGGGUAAAUCUCCCAUAAGGCUAAAUAUUGGCCAGAGACCGAUAGCGCACAAGUAGCGUGAGCGAAAGAUGAAAAGAGCCUUGGAUAAGGGCGUCAAAAAGUAUGUGAAAUUGUUAUGGGGGAAGCGCUUAGUGCCAGACGUGGCUUCGGCUGAUUACCCGGCGUUCUUCGCCGGCGCACUCUGCCGUCGCCAGGCCAGCAUCGGUUCGGCUCGGGGCUUACUGCCGUUAGGAACGUGGCCCUUCGGGGUGUUAUAGCCUAGCGGUGACGUCUCGCGCUGGACUGAGGAUCGCGCAUCUGCUCGGAUGCUGGCGUAAUGGCCCUCAGCGACCCGUCUUGAAACACGGACCAAGGAGUUGACCUAGUAUGCGAGUGUUUGGGUGUCAAGCCCUCACGCGCAGUGAAAGCGAACGCAGGUGGGAGCCUCGGCGCACCAUCGACCGAUCCUGAAGUUUACGGAUGGAUUUGAGUAGGAGCAUACUGGGUCUGACCCGAAAGAAGGUGAACUAUGCAUGAAUAGGGUGAAGCCAGAGGAAACUCUGGUGGAGGCUCGCAGCGGUUCUGACGUGCAAAUCGAUCGUCAAUUUGUGCAUGGGGGCGAAAGACCAAUCGA
rnacentral:rRNA from 1 species